CACUCCUGCGGGAAGCAGCAGUGGGGAAUAUUGGACAAUGGGCGCAAGCCUGAUCCAGCCAUGCCGCGUGAGUGAUGAAGGCCCUAGGGUUGUAAAGCUCUUUCACCGGUGAAGAUAAUGACGGUAACCGGAGACGAAGCCCCGGCUAACUUCGUGCCAGCAGCCGCGGUAAUACGAAGGGGGCUAGCGUUGUUCGGAUUUACUGGGCGUAAAGCGCACGUAGGCGGACUAUUAAGUCAGGGGUGAAAUCCCGGGGCUCAACCCCGGAACUGCCUUUGAUACUGGUAGUCUUGAGUUCGAGAGAGGUGAGUGGAAUUCCGAGUGUAGAGGUGAAAUUCGUAGAUAUUCGGAGGAACACCAGUGGCGAAGGCGGCUCACUGGCUCGAUACUGACGCUGAGGUGCGAAAGCGUGGGGAGCAAACAGGAUGAGAAACCCCUGUAGUCCCAUGAU
rnacentral:rRNA from 1 species